AGAUUGAACGCUGGCGGCAUGCCUAACACAUGCAAGUCGAACGGGAGUAGCAAUACUCUAGUGGCGGACGGGUGAGGAAUACGUAGGAAUUUGCCCUUAAGUGGGGGAUAACCCGGGGAAACCCGGAUUAAUACCGCAUGACCUCGAAAGAGCAAAGUGGGGGAUCGCAAGACCUCACGCUUUUGGAGAAGCCUACGUCGGAUUAGCUAGUUGGUGAGGUAAUGGCUCACCAAGGCGACGAUCCGUAACUGGUCUGAGAGGAUGAUCAGUCACACCGGAACUGAGACACGGUCCGGACUCCGUACGGGAGGCAGCGAGUGGGGAAUAGUUGGAACAAGUGGGCGCAAGCCUGACUCCAGCAAUCGCCGCGUGUGUAGAAGAAGGCCGUUGGGUUAGUAAAGCUAACGUUUAAGGUAGGAAAG
rnacentral:rRNA from 1 species